rnacentral:rRNA from 1 species
GUUAUAGGGUCAAGCGAACAAGUGCAUGUGGUGGAUGCCUUGGCGAUCACAGGCGAUGAAGGACGCGGUAGCCUGCGAAAAGCUACGGGGAGCUGGCAAACGAGCUUUGAUCCGUAGAUGUCCGAAUGGGGAAACCCACUCCUUUUGGAGUAUCCAUGGCUGAAUACAUAGCCAUGCGAAGCGAACGCGGUGAACUGAA